rnacentral:SRP_RNA from 1 species
GCUACAUGUGGUGGCAUGCACCUAUGGUCGUAGACACUUGGGAGGCUGAGGUGGGAGGAUUACUUGAGUCCAAAAGUUCUGGGCUAUAGUGCACUAUGCCGAUCGGGUGUCAGCACUAAGUUCGGCAUCAAUAUGGUGACCUUCCGGGAAUGGGGGACCACCUGGUUGCCAAAGGAGGGGUGAACCGGCCCAGGUUGGUAACAGAUCAGGUCAAAACUCCCAUGCUGAUCUGUAGGAGGAUGGCGCCUGUGAAUAGCCACUGCACUCUAACCUGGGCAACAUAGGGAGACCCUGUCUCCU